UCGGUUGAUCCUGCCGGACCUGACUGCUAUCGGAUUGAUACUAAGCCAUGCGAGUCAUUGUAGCAAUACAAGGCAGACGGCUCAGUAACGCGUAGUCAACCUACCCUAUGGACGGGAAUAACCUCGGGAAACUGAGUAUAAUGCCCGAUAGAACAUUAUGCCUGGAAUGGUUUAUGUUCCAAAUGAUUUAUCGCCGUAGGAUGGGACUGCGGCCUAUCAGUUUGUUGGUGAGGUAAUGGCCCACCAAGACUAUUACAGGUACGGGCUCUGAGAGGAGUAGCCCGGAGAUGGGUACUGAGACACGGACCCAGGCCCUAUGGGGCGCAGCAGGCGAGAAAACUUUGCAAUGUGCGAAAGCACGACAAGGUUAAUCCGAGUGGUUUCUGCUAAAGGAACCUUUUGUUAGUCCUAAAAACACUAACGAAUAAGGGGUGGGCAAGUUCUGGUGUCAGCCGCCGCGGUAAAACCAGCACCUCAAGUGGUCAGGAUGAUUAUUGGGCCUAAAGCAUCCGUAGCCUGCUCUGUAAGUUUUCGGUUAAAUCUGUAUGCUCAACAUACAGGCCGCCGGGAAUACUGCAGAGCUAGGGAGUGGGAGAGGUAGACGGUACUCGGGAGGAAGUGGUAAAAUGCUUUGAUCUCUCGAUGACCACCUGUGGCGAANGCGGUCUACCAGAACACGUCCGACGGUGAGGGAUGAAAGCUGGGGGAGCAAACCGGAUUAGAUACCCGGGUAGUCCCAGCUGUAAACUAUGCAAACUCAGUGAUGCAUUGGCUUGUGGCCAAUGCAGUGUUGCAGGGAAGCCGUUAANUUUGCCGCCNGGGAAGUACGUACGCAAGUAUGAAACUUNAAGG
rnacentral:rRNA from 1 species